rnacentral:rRNA from 1 species
AGGCCCUUCGGGGUACUCGAGCGGCGAACGGGUGAGUAACACGUGAGCAACCUGCCCUAGGCUUUGGGAUAACCCCGGGAAACCGGGGCUAAUACCGAAUAUGACUUCUGGUCGCAUGACCGGUGGUGGAAAGUUUUUCGGCCUGGGAUGGGCUCGCGGCCUAUCAGCUUGUUGGUGGGGUGAUGGCCUACCAAGGCGACGACGGGUAGCCGGCCUGAGAGGGCGACCGGCCACACUGGGACUGAGACACGGCCCAGACUCCUACGGGAGGCAGCAGUGGGGAAUAUUGCACAAUGGGCGGAAGCCUGAUGCAGCGACGCCGCGUGAGGGAUGACGGCCUUCGGGUUGUAAACCUCUUUCAGCAGGGACGAAGCGUAAGUGACGGUACCUGCAGAAGAAGCGCCGGCCAACUACGUGCCAGCAGCCGCGGUAAGACGUAGGGCGCGAGCGUUGUCCGGAUUUAUUGGGCGUAAAGAGCUCGUAGGCGGCUUGUCGCGUCGACUGUGAAAACCCGCAGCUCAACUGCGGGCCUGCAGUCGAUACGGGCAGGCUAGAGUUCGGUAGGGGAGACUGGAAUUCCUGGUGUAGCGGUGAAAUGCGCAGAUAUCAGGAGGAACACCGGUGGCGAAAGGCGGGUCUCUGGGCCGAUACUGACGCUGAGGAGCGAAAGCGUGGGGAGCGAACAGGAUUAGAUACCCUGGUAGUCCACGCUGUAAACGUUGGGCGCUA